GAAAUGACGGAUAGCGCUGUUUUUCCGUUGGCUAGUCUGUCUACCCGAGCGUCGAAAGCGGAUCGGUUCGAUUGGAUUCGGUUCAUUGCAAACAGAAGCGUAAAGGGCAUGCAUCAGAUGCCGUUGGGUGUCCCGCACAGCGGCGGCCGGCGCAGUAAAUGGGAUCAGGCCGGUCCGGUGUCCGGAGAUGAUGGAGGCUCUGCUCCGACCGGAGCUCUGGACGCUGCUGCCGCCGUCGCUGCCAAGAUCAACGCCAUGCUGGUGGCCAAAGGAAAACUCAAACCGUCUCAGAUCAGCAGCACUGCUCCUGUGGAGAAAGUGGCAGGUGUUGCUGGUAAUAAGGUGAAAGAUGAUCUGGUGGUGGCCGAGGUGGAGAUUAACGACGUUCCUCUCACCUGUCGGAAUCUGCUGACCCGCGGACAGACUCAAGACGAGAUCAGCAGAGUGAGCGGCGCUGCAGUGUCCACCAGAGGACGCUUCCUGACCGCGGAGGAGAAGAGUAAAGCACUGCCCAGUGACCGUCCGCUCUAUCUGCACGUCCAGGGACAAACCAGACACUUAGUGGACAAGGCUGUUAACCGGAUCAAGGAGAUCAUUACUAACGGUGUGGUGAAGGCUGCCACUAACUCCAGCUACAGCGGAGCCAUGGUCACCGUUUACCAGCAGCCUGGACCCGCUCCUGUACCCACAAUCCCCUCCGCUGCUCACAAACCACACUAUCCAGGAGGAAUGCAUUACGUGCAGGACAAGCUGUUUGUGGGUCUGGAUCAGGCCGUGCAGGGCUUCUGUGUGAAGGAGCGUGUGGAGGGGCCCGGCUGCUCGUACCUGCAGCACAUUCAGGCAGAAACCGGGGCCAAAGUCUUCCUGCGGGGCCGAGGGUCCGGCUGCCUGGAGCCUGCGUCAGGACGAGAGGCCUUCGAGCCCAUGUACAUCUACAUCAGUCACCCGAAGCCAGAAGGACUCGCUGCUGCUAGAACCCUGUGUGAGAACCUGCUGCAGACCGUUCAUGCUGAGUAUUCUCGAUUCCUGAAUCAGAUGAGCAGUGUAAUGCCCACACAGGGUUUCGUUCAGCCUCCUGCCGUUAACGGGAUCCCCCCACAGCCUCCGUAUUACCCCCCCGCAGGCUUCCAGCCCUCCUACCCCGCUCCCAUCCCGCCGCCGCAGCCCGUCCCUCCUCAGUAUCCUGUGGCUCCGGUGCCCGUCCCCCCCCCGACUGCACAGUAUCCCAUGACCCCCGCGAGCGUCCCUGCACAGACUCUUCCUCCUGCUCCGUUCCCUCCCGCUGCACUGGCUCCGCCCAAACCAGUGGCUCCGCCCAUCCCGCCGCAGAAGCGCCGCUUCACAGAGGACGUGCCGGACGAGACGGACAGUGGCCUGCUGGGAUACCAGGUGAGCUCUGGCACUCGGCAGACCCUACACUCGUCACGUCUGCCUUUACUGUGUUUCUACAGGUGCGGGAGGUCAGCUGCCUGUUGUCAUGGUGACAGCAGUUUGUGGGCGGAGCCUGUUAAUGAAGUGACCUCUGAUCUCUGGGGUCAUGAGUUCCUGAAAGUGUUUGUUUGCAGUUUAUUUGUACUGAAUGACAGCUCACUAGGGUUCAUGCAGUGAAUGAUGGGAACUGCUCAUGUGUUCAACUGUAAAUGUGAUUUUCCUCUUCUGUGUAAGAGCGAUUUGAUUUGUGUGUGUGUGUGUGUGUGACAGAGAUGAUGAGUAUGUGUGAGACAGAUGUUGAGUCACUGCUGUUGUGUGUGUGAGACAGAUGAUGAGUCACUGAUGUGUGUAUGUAAGUGAAGGUGUGUGUUAAUGCUGUUGUGUUUUUCUGCUCAUAGCAUGGACCCAUUCAUAUGACUAAUUUAGGUGCAGGCAUCUCUGUGGGCAGCUCUGAGGCGUCAGGACCCCCGUCUGCUGCUGCUUCAGGGCCUGUGAGAGAGAGAGACAGCAGACUCAUGCCUCCUCCGUGUGCUCCGGCUCCAGUCAGC